GGUUUGGAUCGCUUAAACUGGUGAGGCGAGUGACGUUACUUUCGACUUCAUUUGUUCCAGCCAAGAUUCAACCCCCCCGGAAAUUUGGUCCCCAGUUUGUAAAUCCAGCGGCGUUCUCCUGUUUUCCGUUCCCUGUCUGUCCAAUUCCCAUUUCGCUGUAAACCACAAAUUUUCAUAGCCGUCAAUCCAUGUUUUGUAAAAUGCUGGACUACGAGCGUGUUUAAUUCCUUCCCAUUUUUGAUGUUAUAUCGAUGUUGAGUGAUGCGUGUCAUUAAAGAAUUUUUUGUUUCCCCAACAUAUUGUUUGCCACAUUUUUCACAAUAAAUCAUGUAAACACAA